AACGUAGGACGCAAGCGUUAUCCGGAGUUACUGGGCGUAAAGCGCGGGCAGGCGGCUGUCUAAGUCUGAUGUGAAAGCGCCCGGCUUAACCGGGCGAGGCCAUUGGAAACUGGAGAGCUGGAGGGCAGUAGAGGCAGGCGGAAUUCCGGGUGGAGUGGUGAAAUGCGUAGAGAUCCGGAGGAACACCAGAGGCGAAGGCGGCCUGCUGGGCCGCACCUGACGCUGAGCCGCGAAAGCCAGGGGAGCGAACGGG
rnacentral:rRNA from 1 species